GGGGUAUUAGCUCAGUUGGUUAGAGCGGGUGGUUCGCAAUCACCAGGCCGGGAGUUCGACUCUCCCAUGCUCCA
rnacentral:tRNA from 1 species